GACGAACGCUGGCGGCGUGCAUAACACAUGCAAGUCACGGGGGCCAGCAAUGGCAACCGGCGAACGGGUGCGUAACACGUAAGCGACCUACCUCGAUGUGGGGCAUAGCCGGCCUAAACGGCCGGGUAAUUCCGCAUGUGAUCCUUGAGGGGCAUAUCUCGGGGAUGAAACCAGUAAUGGGCAUUGAGAGGGGCUUGCGGCCUAUCAGCUUGUUGGCGGGGUAACGGCNCACCAAGGCGACGACGGGUAGCUGGUCUGAGAGGAUGGCCAGCACAUUGGGACUGAGAAACGGCCCAGACUCCUACGGGAGGCAGCAGUGGGGAAUCUUGCGCAAUGGCCUAACGGCUGACGCAGCGACCGCCGCGUGAGGGAUGAAGCUCCUCGGAGU
rnacentral:rRNA from 1 species